rnacentral:rRNA from 1 species
GCGACCCCAGGUCAGGCGAGACUACCCGCUGAGUU